AUUAGUUUGAUCCUGGCUCAGAACGAACGCUGGCGGCGUGGAUAAGACAUGCAAGUCGAGCGGGAGUUUGUGGAUAGCAAUAUUUGCAAGCUCUAGCGGCGGAAGGGUGCGUAACACGUGGGUAAUUUACCGUAAGGGCUGGAAUAACUUGCUGAAAGGCGAGCUAAUACCGGAUGUGACUGCUGGGAGGCAUCUCUUGGUAGUUGAAGCUGGGGACCGCAAGGCCUGGCGCUUUACGAUAAGCCCGCGGCCUAUCAGCUAGUUGGCGGGGUAACGGCCCACCAAGGCUAAGACGGGUAGCUGGUCUGAGAGGACGACCAGCCACACUGGAACUGAGACACGGUCCAGACACCUACGGGUGGCAGCAGUCGAGAAUUUUUCACAAUGGGCGAAAGCCUGAUGGAGCGACGCCGCGUGGGGGAUGAAUGGCUUCGGUCCGUAAACCCCUGUCAUUCGGGAACAAUGCCUGUCCAAUAAUAUUGGGCGGGUUGAUAGUACUGGAAGAGGAAGGGACGGCUAACUCUGUGCCAGCAGCCGCGGUAAUACAGAGGUCCCAAGCGUUGUUCGGAUUCACUGGGCGUAAAGGGUGCGUAGGUUGCCAGGUAAGUCUGAUGUGAAAUCUCGAAGCCUAACUUCGAAACUGCAUCGGAUACUAUCUGGCUAGAGGUCUGGAGGGGGGACUGGAAUUCUCGGUGUAGCAGUGAAAUGCGUAGAUAUCGAGAGGAACGCCAAUGGCGAAGGCUAGUCCCUGGACAGAUCCUGACACUGAGGCACGAAAGCUAGGGGAGCAAACAGGAUUAGAUACCCUGGUAGUCCUAGCCGU
rnacentral:rRNA from 1 species